CAGCAGCCACGGGAAUACGUAGGGUGCAAGCGUUAAUCGGAAUUACUGGGCGUAAAGCGUGCGCAGGCGGUUUUGUAAGACAGAGGUGAAAUCCCCGGGCUCAACCUGGGAACUGCCUUUGUGACUGCAAGGCUAGAGUACGGCAGAGGGGGAUGGAAUUCCGCGUGUAGCAGUGAAAUGCGUAGAUAUGCGGAGGAACACCGAUGGCGAAGGCAAUCCCCUGGGCCUGUACUGACGCUCAUGCACGAAAGCGUGGGGAGCAAACAGGAUUAGAUACCCGCGUAGUCCCUGUCUCUUAUAC
rnacentral:rRNA from 1 species